ACAUAGCGUACUUUCACCCUUUUUUCCAGAUCGAGAUGGUGGAGGCAGCCAGUGUCGUGGCCGAGCGCUGGGGAGCUUGUCGGUGUUUUGAUGGAGAAGGCUGGGUCCGAAGGUCCCGAAGUCCUAUGGCAUGAACUGGCCACGGCGCAUCCGGCUGGAUGCACUUGCUCAACACCUUUCCAUCUCUGUACAAUCAGGUAGAUAUUUUCUCACGUGCCAAAUAUUAUUUUUAGGUUGCCAAAUAGUAGUCUAGGAACUAUAGAAAGUGGAUUGCUGAGUUUGCCAAGCAUAAUAGCACACCUAUUAUCAGAUGACCUGAAGAGUAUAUCAAGCAAAGAUGCUUUCAGAUUUAUGCAUGCCUAUAUUAGGUUCCUACUUGUGUGAAGAUAACACUUUGCAUCGGGCUUGUGAGCAACCGUAAGUUGUUUUGCAUGUGAUACUACUUGUGUGAUUAUUUUUACCUUCGGAAAAUUUCCUUCUUAUUAUAUAUCAUAUGGAAUUCUUCAACCAGAGGAGAGCAACUCAAUGAGUUUGCAUACAUUCAGCCAUCUAUGUUGAUGCAACUCAACUAACAAAGAGUAUUUAAGAAAAGACUGCAGUUUGUAAAGCCAGUGGACAAAUUAGUUCUGCACAGUCCGGCAUUAGCGGCGUGCAUGCAGUAAUUCAUCAAUGUUGGGGGUCAGUGCUA